rnacentral:misc_RNA from 1 species
CCAAUAGCGUAUAUUAAAGUUGUUGUGGUUAAAAAGCUCGUAGUUGAACCUUGGGCCUGGCUGGCCGGUCCGCCUCACCGCGUGUACUGGUCCGGCCGGGCCUUUCCCUCUGUGGAACCUCAUGCCCUUCACUGGGUGUGACGGGGAAGCAGGACUUUUACUGUGAAAAAAUUAGAGUGCUCCAAGCAGGCCUAUGCUCGAAUACAUUAGCAUGGAAUAAUAAAAUAGGACGUGCGGUUCUAUUUUGUUGGUUUCUAGGACCGCCGUAAUGAUUAAUAGGGACAGUCGGGGGCAUCAGUAUUCAAUUGUCAGAGGUGAAAUUCUUGGAUUUACUGAAGGCUAACUACUGCGAAAGCAUUUGCCAAGGAUGUUUUCAUUAAUCAGUGAACGAAAGUUAGGGGAUCGAAGACGAUCAGAUACCGUCGUAGUCUUAACCAUAAACGAUGCCGACCGGCGAUCCGCUGUCGUUACUUGAAUGACUCAGCGGGCAGCCUCCG